rnacentral:rRNA from 1 species
GCAGUCGAGCGAGAACCAGGGCUUCGGCCCUGGGGACAGCGGCGAACGGGUGAGUAACACGUGGGUAAUCCACCCUCGGCACCGGAAUAGCCCGGGGAAACCCGGAUUAAUGCCGGAUGGCCCGCCGGCCCCUCGGGGCCGGCCGAAAAGGUAGCUUCGGCCUCCGGCCGAGGACGAGCCCGCGGCGGAUUAGCUUGUUGGUGGGGUAACGGCUCACCAAGGCGACGAUCCGUAGCUGGUCUGAGAGGACGAUCAGCCACACUGGGACUGAGACACGGCCCAGACUCCUACGGGAGGCAGCAGUGGGGAAUCUUGCGCAAUGGGCGAAAGCCUGACGCAGCGACGCCGCGUGAGGGAAGAAGGCCUUCGGGUUGUAAACCUCUUUCAGGAGGGACGAAGCCACUCGGGUUAAUAGCCCAGAGGGUGACGGUACCUCCAGAAGAAGCCCCGGCUAACUACGUGCCAGCAGCCGCGGUAAUACGUAGGGGGCAAGCGUUGUCCGGAUUUAUUGGGCGUAAAGAGCGUGUAGGCGGCCAGGUAGGUCUGCUGCGAAAACUCGAGGCUUAACCUCGAGAUGUCGGCGGAAACCAUCUGGCUAGAGUCCGGAAGAGGAGAAUGGAAUUCCCGGUGUAGCGGUGAAAUGCGCAGAUAUCGGGAAGAACACCCGUGGCGAAGGCGGUUCUCUGGGACGGUACUGACGCUGAGACGCGAAAGCGUGGGGAGCGAACAGGAUUAGAUACCCUGGUAGUCCACGCCGUAAACGAUGGGUG